AGAGUUUGAUCAUGGCUCAGGACGAACGCUGGCGGCGUGCUUAACACAUGCAAGUCGAGCGGAAAGGCCCUUCGGGGUACUCGAGCGGCGAACGGGUGAGUAACACGUGAGCAACCUGCCCUUAGCUCUGGGAUAGCUCCGGGAAACCGGAAUUAAUACCGGAUAUGACCAUGGCCGACAUCGGUUGUGGUGGAAAGAUUUAUCGGCUGGGGAUGGGCUCGCGGCCUAUCAGCUUGUUGGUGGGGUAAUGGCCUACCAAGGCGACGACGGGUAGCCGGCCUGAGAGGGCGACCGGCCACACUGGGACUGAGACACGGCCCAGACUCCUACGGGAGGCAGCAGUGGGGAAUAUUGCGCAAUGGGCGGAAGCCUGACGCAGCGACGCCGCGUGGGGGAUGAAGGCCUUCGGGUUGUAAACCCCUUUCGGCAGGGACGAAGCGGAAGUGACGGUACCUGCAGAAGAAGCACCGGCUAACUACGUGCCAGCAGCCGCGGUAACACGUAGGGUGCAAGCGUUGUCCGGAAUCAUUGGGCGUAAAGAGCUCGUAGGCGGUCUGUCACGUCUGCUGUGAAAACUCGGGGCUUAACCCCGAGCUUGCAGUGGAUACGGGCAGACUAGAGGUAGGUAGGGGAGAAUGGAAUUCCCGGUGUAGCGGUGAAAUGCGCAGAUAUCGGGAGGAACACCGGUGGCGAAGGCGGUUCUCUGGGCCUUACCUGACGCUGAGGAGCGAAAGCGUGGGGAGCGAACAGGAUUAGAUACCCCCGUAGUCC
rnacentral:rRNA from 1 species